CCUACGGGAGGCAGCAGUGAGGAAUAUUGGUCAAUGGGCGGAAGCCUGAACCAGCCAAGUAGCGUGCAGGAUGACGGCCCUAUGGGUUGUAAACCUCUUUUGUCGGGGAACAAAACCCGGGACGUGUCCCGGACUGCGUGUAUCCGAAGAAAAAGCAUCGGCUAACUCCGUGCCAGCAGCCGCGGUAAUACGGAGGAUCCGAGCGUUAUCCGGUUGUAUUGGGUUAAAGGGGUGCGUAGGCGGUCCGUUAAGUCAGCGGGAAAAUUUGGGGGUCAAACCCCGUCGAGCCGUUGAAACUGGCAGACUUGAGUUGGCGAGAGGUAGGCGGAAUGCGCGGUGUAGCGGUGAAAUGCAUAGAUAUCGCGCAGAACUCCGAUUGCGAAGGCAGCGUACCGGCGCCAGACUGACGCUGAGGCACGAAAGCGUGGGGAUCGAACAGGAUUAGAUACCCCAGUAGUC
rnacentral:rRNA from 1 species